AGAGGGACUUUUCUUCAGCCACGACAAGGAAUUAAAGUAUUUCCAGAUGUCUUUUUCCAAAAUAAGGACGCUUUAUAUGGAUGAGUUUUCAUCAGGCUGUGAUGAUGAAUCAGACAGAAAAGACGUAACAGGUAACCUUAAGACUUUAUAUUUCCU